rnacentral:rRNA from 2 species
GCGGGCGUCUUAACAUGCAAGUCGAACGAUUAAAGCACCUUCGGGUGUGUAUAAAGUGGCGAACGGCUGAGUAACACGUGGGCAACCUGCCCCUUUCAUUGGGAUAGCCACGGGAAACCGUGGAUAAUACCGAAUACUUCGAGACUUCCGCAUGGAAGACUCGAGAAAGCUCCGGCGGAGAGGGAUGGGCCCGCGGCCUGUUAGCUUGUUGGUGGGGUAACGGCCUACCAAGGCAAUGAUGGGUAGCUGGGUUGAGAGACCGACCAGCCAGAUUGGGACUGAGACACGGCCCAGACUCCUACGGGAGGCAGCAGUGGGGAAUCUUGCACAAUGGGCGAAAGCCUGAUGCAGCGACGCCGCGUGCGGGAUGAAGGCCUUCGGGUUGUAAACCGCUUUCAGCAGGGACGAGGCGAAAGUGACGGUACCUGCAGAAGAAGCCCGGCUAAUAC